rnacentral:rRNA from 1 species
CAAGUCGAGCGGACAGAAGGGAGCUUGCUCCCGGAUGUUAGCGGCGGACGGGUGAGUAACACGUGGGUAACCUGCCUGUAAGACUGGGAUAACUCCGGGAAACCGGAGCUAAUACCGGAUAGUUCCUUGAACCGCAUGGUUCAAGGAUGAAAGACGGUUUCGGCUGUCACUUGCAGAUGGACCCGCGGCGCAUUAGCUAGUUGGUGGGGUAAUGGCUCACCAAGGCGACGAUGCGUAGCCGACCUGAGAGGGUGAUCGGCCACACUGGGACUGAGACACGGCCCAGACUCCUACGGGAGGCAGCAGUAGGGAAUCUUCCGCAAUGGACGAAAGUCUGACGGAGCAACGCCGCGUGAGUGAUGAAGGUUUUCGGAUCGUAAAGCUCUGUUGUUAGGGAAGAACAAGUGCGAGAGUAACUGCUCGCACCUUGACGGUACCUAACCAGAAAGCCACGGCUAACUACGUGCCAGCAGCCGCGGUAAUACGUAGGUGGCAAGCGUUGUCCGGAAUUAUUGGGCGUAAAGGGCUCGCAGGCGGUUUCUUAAGUCUGAUGUGAAAGCCCCCGGCUCAACCGGGGAGGGUCAUUGGAAACUGGGAAACUUGAGUGCAGAAGAGGAGAGUGGAAUUCCACGUGUAGCGGUGAAAUGCGUAAAGAUGUGGAGGAACACCAGUGGCGAAGGCGACUCUCUGGUCUGUAACUGACGCUGAAGAGCGAAAGCGUGGGGAGCGAACAGGAUUAGAUACCCUGGUAGUCCACGCCGUAAACGAUGAGUGCUAAUUGUUAAGGGGUUUCCGCCCCUUAAUGCUGCAGCUAACGCAUUAAGCACUCCGCCUGGGGAAUACGGUCGCAAGACUG